UGUGAGAGUGAAUGUUUGUGUCUGUGUGUCAGAGACUCUUCCUCCUCAUACGUCCUCCUUAACGUCUCUGAACAGACUGCAACAAACAUCAAGUUUGGCAACCAGCUUUUUAUUUAUUUAGCUCUUUUAAAUGUUGCUUCUAGCUGCAGUUUAUUGCACAUAUUAAGACUAACCUUGAGGUAGUUGGUCCUCUCGUGCAGAACUGUGGACCGAACACCAUUUACAAAAAAAAGGACAGACAAGAGAAAGAAAAAGUCACGCCUGAACAGUGUGACCACUUUUGUUUUGUAUGUGAUGCAAAAAGUUGUGUGUGUUGUGUUGUAAUGUUUCCAGUGUGAAGUGUUAGUUUGUGACCUGAUGAAUCUUUUGUGAAGAACUGGCUUAAGAAGCAUUUACAGAGGAAUAAAUCUACCGUGCGUGUGUUCACUGUGGUGUGUUCCUGGUGAAGAUGGUGGUGUUCUCUGUGGGUCUGAUCAUCAUGGUGUCUGCCGUCAUCACUGUUCACCUCGUGGACUUCAAGAAGCACCAACAAAGAAAUGGAUGUCAAACACGUCACGCUGCCCGGGAGGAAAGCUCCCACUUAAAGGUCACCUUCUAAACCCGUGAUGAUGUUCCACUGACUCACAGCUGGUGGCAGCAACACACCAGG